UAUGGCCAUAUCAUGUUGAAACAUUGGUUCCCGUAUGAUCACCGAAGUUAAACAAUGUUGAGCCUGGUCACUACCUAGAUGGGUGACGACUUGUGAAUACCG